GAUGAACGCUAGCGGCAGGCUUAAUACAUGCAAGUCGAGGGGCAGCGCGGGUAGCAAUACCUGGCGGCGACCGGCAAACGGGUGCGGAACACGUACGCAACCUUCCCAUAACUGGUGAAUAGCCCUCCGAAAGGAGGAUUAAUACACCGUAAGAUAACGAAGAGGCAUCUCUUUGUUAUUAUAGCUACGGCGGUUUUGGAUGGGCGUGCGCCUGAUUAGGUAGUUGGCGGGUAACGGCCCACCAAGCCUACGAUCAGGUAACUGGUGUGAGAGCACGACCAGUCACACGGGCACUGAGACACGGGCCCGACUCCUACGGGAGGCAGCAGUAAGGAAUAUUGGUCAAUGGACGCAAGUCUGAACCAGCCAUGCCGCGUGAAGGAUGAAGGUCCUCUGGAUUGUAAACUUCUUUUAUCUGGGACGAAAAAGGGCUUUCUAGCUCACUUGACGGUACCAGAGGAAUAAGCACCGGCUAACUCCGUG
rnacentral:rRNA from 1 species